rnacentral:lncRNA from 1 species
UAUGAUUUCCUUAUGUUCCUGAGAAAGGCAAAGCAUUUGUCUGAAAGCGAAAGCCAGGAGAUCAAAGUAACUUCCCUGUCAUAAGAGGAAACAUGAGAGCAGAAUUCAGCAUGAGUUUUGUAUAUGGCAAUCAAGUAUAUUCAUGGCUAUCUAAAUGAAUGUCCACGUAGAAGUCAGGCAGCACAAAGAACAAGAUAUAACAGCUGAACAUCCCACUGAAAACCAGCUAAGUGUUGAUCACAACCAUCAAAAAAAUUCUUGUCUUUACUUACAGUGUGACUAUAACUUUCAGAAAGUAACACAUCAGUAAAAUGCAGAGAUGGAAAUCUAGAAUUUCUUGCAGCUUGGCAGCAUAGGAGCCAAUGGGGUAGCAAUGUGAAAGUCAAGAAGUACACCUCAUCUCCAGGGCAGCAAGAGUGAUCCCUGCCUGACAAUGAUGCUGGGAGAAGAU